GACGAACGCUGGCGGCGUGCUUAACACAUGCAAGUCGAACGGAAAGGCCCUGCUUUUGUGGGGUGCUCGAGUGGCGAACGGGUGAGUAACACGUGAGUAACCUGCCCUUGACUUUGGGAUAACUUCAGGAAACUGGGGCUAAUACCGGAUAGGAGCUCCUGCUGCAUGGUGGGGGUUGGAAAGUUUCGGCGGUUGGGGAUGGACUCGCGGCUUAUCAGCUUGUUGGUGGGGUAGUGGCUUACCAAGGCUUUGACGGGUAGCCGGCCUGAGAGGGUGAACGGGGACAAUGGGACUGCGGGACGGAGCAGACGCGUACGGGAGGCAACGGGGGAGAAUAUUGCACAAUGGGGGGAAGCCUGAUGCAGCAGCGCCGCGUGCGGGAUGACGGCCUUCGGGUUGUAAACCGCUGUCGCCUGUGACGAAGCGGGAGUGACGGUAAUGGGUAAAGAAGCACCGGCUAACUACGUG
rnacentral:rRNA from 1 species